CACGUAGGGGGCGAGCGUUAUCCGGAUUCAUUGGGCGUAAAGCGCGCGCAGGCGGCCCGCUAAGCGGGACCUCUAAUCCCGGGGCUCAACCCCGGGCCGGGUCCCGAACUGGCGGGCUCGCUUCCGGUAGGGGAGGUCGGAAUUCCCGGUGUAGCGGUGGAAUGCGCAGAUAUCGGGAAGAACACCGACGGCGAAGGCAGGCCUCUGGGCCGCGAAGGACGCUGAGGCGCGAAAGCCGGGGGAGC
rnacentral:rRNA from 1 species